UUUCCGUAGGUGAACCUGCGGAAGGAUCAUUAUUGUAUAACCGAGGAGCGAGGGGUGUCGCUGCUCGGAUAGGACGUGCACGCCCGAGUGCCCUCACACACAUCCAUCUUACCCCUAUGUGCACCACCGCGUGUGCCCCUCUCUGGUUCGUUCGGAGGGGGGCUUACGUUUUGACACACACUUUGUAUUCCGUGCAGGAUGUAUUUUUUGUUUUUGCUUGCCUGCAUUCUAUACAACUUUCAGCAAUGGAUCUCUUGGCUUUCGCAUCGAUGAAGAACA
rnacentral:misc_RNA from 1 species